rnacentral:rRNA from 1 species
GUCGAGGGGCAUCGGGGGUAGCAAUACCCACCGGCGACCGGCGCACGGGUGAGUAACGCGUAUGCAACCUACCCCCCACAGGGGAAUAACCCGGAGAAAUUCGGACUAAUACCCCAUAACACCGUCGGCCUUCAUGGGCAGGUGGUUAAAGGAGCGAUCCGGUGGAGGAUGGGCAUGCGUAUCAUUAGAUAGUUGGUGGGGUAACGGCCCACCAAGUCCACGAUGAUUAGGGGUUCUGAGAGGAUUAUCCCCCACACUGGGACUGAGACACGGCCCAGACUCCUACGGGAGGCAGCAGUGAGGAAUAUUGGUCAAUGGCCGGAAGGCUGAACCAGCCAUGCCGCGUGCAGGACAACGGCCCUACGGGUCUUAAACUGCUUUUGCGAGGGAACAAUAAAGUCCACGUGUGGACCGACGAGCGUACCUUGCGAAUAAGCAUCGGCUAACUCCGUGCCAGCAGCCGCGGUAAUACGGAGGAUGCAAGCGUUAUCCGGAUUCAUUGGGUUUAAAGGGUGCGUAGGCUGCCCCUUAAGUCAGCGGUGAAACUCACGGGCUCAACCCGUGACCUGCCGUUGAUACUGGGGGGCUUGAAUGCGGAUGAAGCGGGAGGAAUGUAUGGUGUAGCGGUGAAAUGCAUAGAUAUCAUACAGAAGGCCUAAUGCGAAGGCAUCCCGCUAAUGCGCCAUUGACGCUGAGGCACGAAAGCGUGGGGAUCAAACAGGAUUAGAUACCCU